GCAUCAGAGCUAAUGAUGAAUGUUAUUUUGGCAGGAAGAAGAAAAACAACAGGCAAGAGAGACAGAAACAGAAAAGUGAAAAAAAGUCUUGGUAACCACCAGAGAAGAGGUCAAAAUCCAGGCCGUAACUGAAGAUGAAGCUGUAAAGAUGGUAUUUAUUUGUACUCACAACAUACACAUCUUACAGAUCAAAUGACCCCUCUUCAUGAUUACUGAUGACAUAAGAAUGGAGCCAGUUAUUAUAAUUGGUUGUUGUUGUUAAGAGAAGAACAGCAUUGGGCUGAAAGGCUGGAGAUGGUCCCAUGGCACAGCAUUUAAUCCGCAUCUGGAAUGUUGCCUUUUCUUGUUUUACUUGGGACUCUAACUUUAGGAGACAUUCAACAGCCUGAAUCUUAUUUCCUUCUCAGGACUAGAUGGAAGAGAGUUUGUAAAAAGUCUUCUUCAGAGGGGUAUGAUGUGAAUUGCAGCUCUCUUAUACUGGAAUAA
rnacentral:lncRNA from 1 species